rnacentral:lncRNA from 1 species
AAUGGAACCACACAUUUGGAAGGCUCCAUCUCUACCAGGCCAAAGGCACAUCUCUCCGCCUCAUGCUGUUUCAAAGUUUUGGUACAUGAUGCUCCCAUCCUGGGCCUCCUCUGGAAGAAGUUGGUCUCCAGAGACCAGUACAUGAUAGGAAAAAUGGAGCAGAGCAUACUUAUUGAGAAGGGUCUUACAUUUUGUUUUUUGUUUUUUGUUUUUCCUUUGGUAUAGUCGUGUUGGUGCUCUUGUAUUGACGUAAGCAACAAGAGACUGUUGCCUGUUGUCUGAGUAUCAGCUACAAAAGUGAAAGGCUAGCUCAACAACAGAAGAGAAACCUGUUUCACAAAUCGUCACGAAGGCAAAACAGAGCUAGAAACUGGACCAGAUUGGCCAUUGGGUGGUUGACAAAACAUCAUGGCGCCGGUGAAUUAAAGAACUCAGAAAACUAGAGAUAGCUUGGUACCUGGAGGUGAUGGAGCCUCUAGUGUUUCAACCAUUCACUCACUCGAAGCUAUUUGUGGAGGACCUCCUCCAGGAGCAGGGAAGAGAGCAGUGUGAACAACACAGAAAAAUCGCUAGUGCUGGAGACAGAUAAUCAACCAGAUAGAAAUAUAAGCUGGAUCUGGACCUGCCACAGCUUUUCUGCUGCCUCCUCUUCAUCCAAAGAAACACGUGACUUGGAUGGACAACUGAUGUACAAGUCAGCUGAACAAAAGCAAUCCAAACACUGUAGACUUCCUCCUUUGGCCCUUCUUAGAAGCCUGAUUCAGAUCUUAAAGCACCUUUUUUUUUUUUUUUUAAUUUUGUGGCCACAGGUAGCAUAUGGAAGUUCCCUGGCCAGGGAUUGCUCCACGCUGCAGCUGCCACCUAUGCCACAGCUAUGGUGAUGUGGGAUCCUUUAACCCACUGUGCCAGGCAGGGAUUGAACCCUCACCUCUGCAAGGUGCUGCAGUUGGAUUCUUAACCCACUGUACCAUAGCAGGAAUUCUGAUCUUGGUGCCUUUUUAAGACAUGUCCACAGCACAGUGCCUAGCAGGACCCCUGGGACAUAGCAGGUGGAUCAAUAAAUUGAAUUACAUUAUGUCA